rnacentral:lncRNA from 1 species
UGAAAUCGAAAUGGAUGGUUUGGUUCUAACCAUCGACGAUGGCCCAUAUAACAGAACUUUCCUCCAUGUUUUAACCAAUAUGAAUGGGUUGAAUCUCCACAAGAAGGACAUGCAAUACGCCCCUUAGUGCUCCAACCGGAUAAAUUAGCAUAUGCAGAAAAAUCAUUAAUAGUCCAUAUAAGAGCUGCACGCAAUUUGAAUGUUUGACCAGUAAAAGCAUCAAAUGCAUCAAUACCCUCCCAUAACUGUUUCAAUUCCUCUAUUAAAGGCUGCAAAAAAACAUCAAUAUCAUUACCUGG